UUAUUUACAAAAACAGCUGAUGGUGGUUUUAUACUAGAUUGCCAGUAGUUAAAAGUAUUUCUUUUUUUUCUUUUUUAGUUGCAAGAAGCACGAGAUCGACAUGCAGAGGCUGUAAGAUGUAUUGAGACGUCGAAAGAUCACGUGCAAAAGCUUGAAGUUGAAAAUGCCAAGUUAAAAGUUACAG